UACAGAGGUCUCAAGCGUUGUUCGGAUUCAUUGGGCGUAAAGGGUGCGCAGGUGGCGCGGCAAGUCGGAUGUGAAAUCCCGGGGCUCAACCUUGGAACUGCAUUCGAUACUGCCGUGCUAGAGUGCUGGAGAGGAGAUUGGAAUUUACGGUGUAGCAGUGAAAUGCGUAGAUAUCGUAAGGAAGACCAGUGGCGAAGGCGACCACCUGGACUGAUACUGACACUGAGGUGCGAAAGCGUGGGGAGCAAACAGG
rnacentral:rRNA from 1 species